ACCCAAUAGAUACCCGGGUAGUCCUGGCCCUAAAACGAUGAAUGCUUGGUGUGGCGGGUAUCGAUCCCUGCCGUGCCGAAAGCUAAACGCAUUAAGCAUUCCGCCUGGGGAGUACGGUCGCAAGGCUGAAACUCAAACGGAAUUGACGGGGGUCCCGCACAAGCGGUGGAGCAUGUGGUUUAAUUCGACGCAACGCGAAGAACCUUACCCAGGCUUGAACUGCAGACGACAUCCUACGAAACGUAGGCUUCCGCAAGGACGUCUGUAGAGGUGCUGCAUGGCUGUCGUCAGCUCGUGUCGUGAGAUGUUGGGUUUAAACGU
rnacentral:rRNA from 1 species